rnacentral:rRNA from 1 species
GACGAACGCUGGCGGCGUGCUUAACACAUGCAAGUCGUACGGUAAGGCCCUUUCGGGGGUACACGAGUGGCGAACGGGUGAGUAACACGUGAGUAACCUGCCCACAACUUUGGGAUAACGCUAGGAAACUGGUGCUAAUACUGGAUAUGUGCUCCUGCUGCAUGGUGGGGGUUGGAAAGCUCCGGCGGUUGUGGAUGGACUCGCGGCCUAUCAGCUUGUUGGUGGGGUAGUGGCCUACCAAGGCGGCGACGGGUAGCCGGCCUGAGAGGGUGACCGGCCACAUUGGGCCUGAGAUACGGCCCAGCCUCCUACGGGAGGCAGCGGUGGGGAAUAUUGCACAAUGGGCGCAAGCCUGAUGCAGCAACGCCGCGUGCGGGAUGACGGCCUUCGGGUUGUAAACCGCUUUCAGCAGGGACGAAGCUUUUGUGACGGUACCUGCAGAAGAAGCACCGGCUAACUACGUG